rnacentral:rRNA from 1 species
AAUGAACGCUGGCGGCAAGCCUAACACAUGCAAGUCGAACGGGGUUAUAUAUAGCUUGCUAUAGUGUAGCCUAGUGGCAGACGGGUGAGUAAUGUAUAGGAAUCUACCUAGUAGUACGGAAUAAUUACUGGAAACGGCAACUAAUACCGUAUACGCCCUAUGGGGGAAAGAUUUAUUGCUAUUAGAUGAGCCUAUAUUAGAUUAGCUAGUUGGUAGGGUAAUGGCCUACCAAGGCUAUGAUCUAUAGCUGAUCUGAGAGGAUGAUCAGCCACACUGGAACUGAGAUACGGUCCAGACUCCUACGGGAGGCAGCAGUGGGGAAUAUUGGACAAUGAGCGGAAGCUUGAUCCAGCUAUGCCGCAUGAGUGAAGAAGGCCUUUGGGUUGUAAAGCUCUUUCAGUGAGGAAGAUAAUGACGGUACUCAC